GCUUACAGCCAUACCACCCUGAGCACACCUGAACGUGUCUGAUCUCAGAAGCUAAGCGGCGUCAGGUCUGGUUAGUAUUUAGAUGGGAGACUGCCUAGGAAUGCUACGUGCUCUACGAU
ensembl:rRNA 5S_rRNA 5S ribosomal RNA